UACUCCCUCCUCUUUCUAUUUCACGUGAAACCAAAAACACCAAAACCCUCAAACCUUGCUUCCUCCUUCACGUGAACCUGCAGCCCUCACCUCCUUCAGCGUCGCACAGCCGCCGCACCAGCCACCGCCUGGCCGCCGUCGUUGCUAGGCCACCACCUCCUCCGUCGAUCGCCACCACCACACGCCGCUAGCCUUGCCGCCGCCUGUCACUGCUGCCACGCUUCCCAACCUCCGGCGGUCUCCCUCCUUUCUCCUCCACGCACGCAACAAGCUUCCCCUUUCUUCUUUUCUUGCUUCACCAUCAGCACAACCACCACCGUCGCUGCCACCUGACAGUCGUGCCGCACCGCACUCCUGCGCCUGUGCUGCACCGCCGUGGCCGCCGUCGCUCCCUGCCCAGCCGGCGCCCUUGCUCUUCACUCUCUUCUUGAUUUGGCGGAGAAUUCUCUUUAGGCGACUUUUGAAAGUGUUAAAGUGGCCUAUCAGUUUGUUUACACAAGUCUCUAAGGAUCAAUAAGCGUUGCCCAUCUACAGGUUUGAAGAUGAUGCAUCAUUGGGAUCGGGAUUAGAGAGCUUAUAGUUCUAUUUGUUUAAUUAAGUGAUUUAAUUUGUUAACUUGGAUUUGAAAUUUGUCGUACUAUUUAUAUUUCCUUAUUUUCGUUUAUUGGUUUUGGGAUUAAACCUGUAAUCAAUUACCUAUAAACCUCAAAUUAGUUUUAUG